rnacentral:rRNA from 1 species
AGGGAACACUAGGUAUAUGCUUAACACUAGCAAGUCGAACGUUGUUUUCAGGGAGCUGGGCAGAAAGAAAAAAGGCUCCUAGCUAAAGGUAGCUUGUUUCGCCCAGGAGGUGAGAACAGUUGAGAACAAAGUGGCAAACGGGUGCGUAACGUGUGAGAAUCUGCCAAACAGUUCGGGCCAAAUCCUGAAGAAAGCUAAAAAGCGCUGUUUGAUGAGCCUGAGUAGUAUUAGGUAGUUGGUCAGGUAAAGGCUGACCAAGCCAAUGAUGCUUAGCUGGUCUUUUCAGAUGAUCAGCCACAUUGGGACUGAGACACAACCCGGACUCCCACGGGAGGCAGCAGUGGGGAAUCUUGGACAAUGGGCAAAAGCCCGAUCCAGCAAUAUCGCGUGAGUGAAGAAGGGUAAUGCCGCUUGUAAAGCUCUUUCGUUGAGUGCGCGAUCAUGACAGGACUCGAGGAAGAAGCCCCGGCUAACUCCGUGCCAGCCGCCGCCGUAAAAC